rnacentral:rRNA from 1 species
UGCUGUGAAAUUCCGAGGCUCAACCUCGGGCUUGCAGUGGGUACGGGCAGACUAGAGUGCGGUAGGGGAGAUUGGAAUUCCUGGUGUAGCGGUGGAAUGCGCAGAUAUCAGGAGGAACACCGAUGGCGAAGGCAGAUCUCUGGGCCGUUACUGACGCUGAGGAGCGAAAGGGUGGGGAGCAAACAGGCUUAGAUACCCUGGUAGUCCACCCCGUAAACGUUGGGAACUAGUUGUGGGGUCCUUUCCACGGAUUCCGUGACGUAGCUAACGCAUUAAGUUCCCCGCCUGGGGAGUACGGCCGCAAGGCUAAAACUCAAAGGAAUUGACGGGGACCCGCACAAGCGGCGGAGCAUGCGGAUUAAUUCGAUGCAACGCGAAGAACCUUACCAAGGCUUGACAUACACCAGAACGGGCCAGAAAUGGUCAACUCUUUGGACACUGGUGAACAGGUGGUGCAUGGUUGUCGUCAGCUCGUGUCGUGAGAUGUUGGGUUAAGUCCCGCAACGAGCGCAACCCUCGUUCUAUGUUGCCAGCACGUUAUGGUGGGAACUCAUGGGAUACUGCCGGGGUCAACUCGGAGGAAGGUGGGGAUGACGUCAAAUCAUCAUGCCCCUUAUGUCUUGGGCUUCACGCAUGCUACAAUGGCCGGUACAAUGGGCUGCGAUACCGCGAGGUGGAGCGAAUCCCAAAAAGCCGGUCCCAGUUCGGAUUGAGGUCUGCAACUCGACCUCAUGAAGUCGGAGUCGCUAGUAAUCGCAGAUCAGCAACGCUGCGGUGAAUACGUUCCCGGGUCUUGUACACACCGCCCGUCAAGUCAUGAAAGUCGGUAACACCUGAAGCCGGUGGCCUAACCC